rfam:Dracunculus medinensis genome assembly, scaffold: DME_scaffold0000004
AAAAAGGUUUUUUUAAAAUCCAUUAAAAAGUUAUAAAUGAGUUCUA